GCCGGGAUGGCGGAAUCGGUAGACGCAACCGACUUAAAAUCGGUCGCCCGUGAGGGCUUGCGGGUUCAAGUCCCGUUCUCGGCA
rnacentral:tRNA from 1 species